rfam:Gossypium hirsutum cultivar TM-1 chromosome 5, whole genome shotgun sequence
AGCCCAUGGUGAAGGCACAUUCUUAAUAAAUCCUUCUAUCUCUCCCAUGCGUCAUAGAGUGUUUCUAAAUCCAUCUACACAAAAGAAGAAAAAUUAUUCCUUAGUUU